rnacentral:rRNA from 1 species
GAUGAACGCUGGCGGCGUGCUUAACACAUGCAAGUCGAACGAGAAGUGAAGACGGAAACCUUCGGGCGGAAGGCUUUAUUUCGAGUGGCGGACGGGUGAGUAACGCGUGGGUAACCUGCCUCAUACAGGGGGAUAACAGUUGGAAACGACUGUUAAUACCGCAUAAGACCACAGCACGGCAUGGUGCGGGGGUAAAAACUCCGGUGGUAUGAGAUGGACCCGCGUUCGAUUAGCCAGUUGGCGGGGUAACGGCCCACCAAAGCGACGAUCGAUAGCCGAUCUGAGAGGAUGACCGGCCACAUUGGGACUGAGACACGGCCCAAACUCCUACGGGAGGCAGCAGUGGGGAAUAUUGCACAAUGGGGGAAACCCUGAUGCAGCGACGCCGCGUGAGUGAAGAAGUAUUUCGGUAUGUAAAGCUCUAUCAGCAGGGAAGAAAAUGACGGUACCUGAGUAAGAAGCCCCGGCUAACUACGUG